UACGGAGGGGGCUAGCGUUGUUCGGAAUUACUGGGCGUAAAGCGCACGUAGGCGGCCUGUUAAGUCGGGGGUGAAAUCCUGGGGCUCAACCCCAGAAUUGCCUCCGAUACUGGCAGUCUCGAGUGCGGGAGAGGUGAGUGGAAUUCCCAGUGUAGAGGUGAAAUUCGUAGAUAUUGGGAAGAACACCAGUGGCGAAGGCGGCUCACUGGCCCGUAACUGACGCUGAGGUGCGAAAGCGUGGGGAGCGAACAGG
rnacentral:rRNA from 1 species